UACGUAAGGGGCAAGCGUUGUCCGGAUUUAUUGGGCGUAAAGAGCGUGUAGGCGGCCAGGUAGGUCAGCUGUGAAAACUCGAGGCUUAACCUCGAGACGCCGGCUGAAACCCUCUGGCUAGAGUCCGGAAGAGGAGAGCGGAAUUCCUGGUGUAGCGGUGAAAUGCGCAGAUAUCAGGAAGAACACCCGUGGCGAAGGCGGCUCUCUGGGACGGUACUGACGCUGAGACGCGAAAGCGUGGGGAGCGAACAGG
rnacentral:rRNA from 1 species